CACAAGCAGCGGAGCGUGUGGUUUUAAUUCGUUUGCUACGCGAAGAACCUUACCUGGGUUUGACAUAUAGGUUGUAGGGAACUGAAAAGGGACCGACCCUUCGGGAGCCUAUACAGGUGUUGCAUGGCUGUCGUCAGCUCGUGUCGUGAGAUGUUCGGUUAAGUCCGCUAACGAGCGCAACCCUCGUCGUAUGUUAUAUGUGUCAUACGAGACUGCCGGUAAAAGCCGGAGGAAGGUGAGGAUGAUGUCAAGUCAGCAUGACCUUUAUAUCCAGGGCUACACACACGCUACAAUGGUCUGUACAAUGGGUAGCCAAGCCGCGAGGCGGAGCCAAUCCUGAAAGCAGGCCUCAGUUCAGAUUGCAGUCUGCAACUCGACUGCAUGAAGCCGGAGUUGCUAGUAACCGCAGGUCAGCAAUACUGCGGUGAAUACGUUCCCGGGUCUU
rnacentral:rRNA from 1 species